rnacentral:sRNA from 1 species
GGGAGGGAUCUGGCUGAUACAUUUAUCCCCAGAGCAGAUAUAGUACAAGCAACAGCAAAGCAUGAUUCUCUGGUGCAGAUCUGCUGUACAUGCCUCAACCCAACCUAGUGAGACCAUAUCUAAAGAUGAGAAGGGAGUUCUGCUUUCAUGGCCCAUUCAGUCCUUGGCUCUC